UCUUUAGAAAGGCCCUCCUUCAUUGAAAAGCUGGUCUCUAGGAAAAUAGUCUCAUAAUAUUUGAGGAAAGUUAUUUUUUCUUGAGAAUGUGCUUUUUUAAGAGAAUAUAGUUUUCUGCAGGAGUAUUGUUCUAUUGAAAAUGUGCUGGGGAAGGUUUUUCGGUUUAUCCCGGAGGGCUUGUAGCUCAGUUGGUUAGAGCGCGCGCUUGAUAAGCGUGAGGUCGGAGGUUCAAGUCCUCCCAGGCCCACCAAUUUAGAUUUAUUUAAUCCGCUUUUGAGAAGUUCCUCCUUUAUAAGGGCAAGGUCUAAAGACCAGAUAACCUCCUUAUCCUCAGAUCAUGUAGUCUCAAAUUAUCGAGACUUUUUAAAGGGUAAUGCUUAAAAUUAUUGGUAGGGUGUUUAUAAUAUGUUUUAUGGGAUUGUUAAGGAGCUUGCGAGACUAUCAAGAAGAUUGGUAAAUGUCGGCUUGAUGAUUAGCGCUUUCAUUUAGGGGCCGUAGCUCAGCUGGGAGAGCACCUGCUUUGCAAGCAGGGGGUC
rnacentral:misc_RNA from 1 species